CGAGGUAUAGUUCAAAGCCAGAACACCCCCUUUACACGGAGGAAAUGCUCGUUAAAUUCGAGUUGCCUUGAC
rnacentral:tRNA from 1 species